AUGUAAUGUAAUGCCUACAAUGUUAAUGUUUCAAAUCCCAUUAGAACUCUGCAAUUACGUGUGCUUGGGCUAGAGUAGUACUAGGAUGGGUGACCUCUUGGGAAGUCCUAGCAUUUUACAUG
rnacentral:rRNA from 1 species